rnacentral:rRNA from 1 species
UUAUAAGAGACAGCAGUAGCCGCGGUAAUACAGAGGGUGCAAGCGUUAAUCGGAUUUACUGGGCGUAAAGGGCGCGUAGGUGGUUAUGUAAGUGAGAUGUGAAAUCCCCGGGCUCAACCUGGGAACUGCAUCUUAUACUGCGUAGCUGGAGUGCAGUAGAGGGUAGUGGAAUUUCCGGUGUAGCGGUGAAAUGCGUAGAUAUCGGAAGGAACACCAGUGGCGAAGGCGGCUACCUGGACUGACACUGACACUGAGGCGCGAAAGCGUGGGGAGCAAACAGGAUUAGAUACCCCAGUAGUCCCUGUCUCUUAUAC